rnacentral:rRNA from 1 species
AGCCCGGAGAUGGAAAAAAAAGACAUGAAUCCAGGCCCUAUGGGGCGCAUUUGGUGCAAAAACUUUACAAUGCCGGAAACCGCUAUAACGGUAUACCGAGUGCCAGCAUCUUAUGUUGGCUGUGCCAUGUCUAAAUCGCAUGUGUUAGCAAGGGCCGGGCAAGACUCCUGCCUGCCGCCGCGGUAACACCGGCUGUCCGAGUGGUAGCCACUAUUAUUGAGCGUAAAGGGUCCGUAGCCGGUUUGAUCAGUCUUCCGGGAAAUCUGAUAGCUCAACUAUUAGGCUUCUGGGGGAUACUGUCACACGUGGGACCGGAAAGUAAGAGGUACUACAGGGGUUGUAUUGAAUCUAAAACCUUGUGGAACCCAGUGGUAAGUUGUCUGACAAACAGGUCCGACAGUAGGGACAAAGCUGGGGCACGAACCGAUUAAUUCCCGGUAAUCCCACCAAUAACCGAUUCUCCUAGGUGUUUGGAAUUGUGCGACCGUUUUUAAUGUGCCCAAGGAAUCCCUAAACUAGCCCACUGGGAAGUCAGGCCCAGGGUUUAAAUUUUAAUAAUGGGGGGGAACCCUUUAACGGGGGGGGGCCGGGGUUUUUUUAAUCAGCCGAAAAAAUUCUCUGGGAAAAGAAUAUGUGGGUCGGGGGUAAGGGUCUUACCCGAAACCCCUUAAAGAGAAGGUGCAAGGGCCCCCCCUCUUUUUCUCAUCUUGGAAAAACUCUCUGGUUAAGGGGGGAUAUAAGGGAGACCCCCCCGCCCCCACUUUUGUGCCAAAAAGUGCCUCUCUUGGGGAUAAAAGGGGGGAAUCUUGGGGGGGGAAACCGCGGGUGGGUUAAAAAACAAAAAGAAAGGAGGGGGGGGCCCCCGGGGUGGGUUCAUGUAUUGCCCCCCAUAAUUUUCCCGCGGGGGAUUACUCCGGGGGCCUUAAAAAUGAUGUGGGAGGGGAUAAAAAGAAUGGUUCUCUAUAAAAAAAAAAAAAAGAGGUGUUUUUUGAUACUUACCAAACAAAACAUCAACCCUUCUUUUUCUGUUGUU